rnacentral:rRNA from 1 species
UUCGGUGGUCAUAGCGUUAGGGAAACGCCCGGUUACAUUUCGAACCCGGAAGCUAAGCCUUUCAGCGCCGAUGGUACUGCAGGGGGGACCCU